rnacentral:rRNA from 1 species
UACGUAGGGGGCUAGCGUUGUCCGGAUUUAUUGGGCGUAAAGAGCGUGUAGGCGGCCAGGUAGGUCUGCUGUGAAAACUCGAGGCUCAACCUCGAGACGUCGGCGGAAACCAUCUGGCUAGAGUCCGGAAGAGGAGAGUGGAAUUCCUGGUGUAGCGGUGAAAUGCGCAGAUAUCAGGAAGAACACCUAUGGCGAAGGCAGCUCUCUGGGACGGUACUGACGCUGAGACGCGAAAGCGUGGGGAGCGGACAGG